UACGUAGGGUGCAAGCGUUGUCCGGAAUUAUUGGGCGUAAAGAGCUCGUAGGCGGUGUGUCGCGUCGGCCGUGAAAACCUGCAGCUUAACUGUGGGCUUGCGGUCGAUACGGGCACCACUGGAGUUCGGCAGGGGAGACUGGGAUUCCUGGUGUAGCGGUGAAAUGCGCAGAUAUCAGGAGGAACACCGGUGGCGAAGGCGGGUCUCUGGGCCGAUACUGACGCUGAGGAGCGAAAGCGUGGGGAGCGAACAGG
rnacentral:rRNA from 1 species